rnacentral:rRNA from 1 species
GCGCAAAUUACCCAAUCCUGACACAGGGAGGUAGUGACAAGAAAUAACAAUACGGGGCUUAAAGUCUUGUAAUUGGAAUGAUGGGAAUUUAAACCUCUUCCAGAGUAUCAAUUGGAGGGCAAGUCUGGUGCCAGCAGCCGCGGUAAUUCCAGCUCCAAUAGCGUAUAUUAAAAUUGUUGCAGUUAAAAAGCUCGUAGUUGAAUUUCUGCUGCAUUGCUUGUGUCCCUCUGGGGUCUGUGCAUGUGGCUUUUUUCGGACGGAGUUUCUUUGUCUGAAUGUUUACUUUGAGAAAAUUAGAGUGCUCAAAGCAGGCUUUCGCCUUGAAUAGUUUAGCAUGGAAUAAUAAAGUAGGACUUUGGUUCUAUUUUGUUGGUUUUAGGUACCAAAGUAAUGGUUAAUAGGAACAGUUGGGGGCAUUCGUAUUUAACUGUCAGAGGUGAAAUUCUUAGAUUUGUUAAAGACGAACUACUGCGAAAGCAUUUGCCAAGGAUGUUUUCAUUAAUCAAGAACGAAAGUUAGGGGAUCGAAGACGAUCAGAUACCGUCGUAGUCCUAACCAUAAACUAUGCCGACUAGAGAUUGGAGGUCGUCAGUUUUUACGACUCCUU